UCUCACAUUGGUGGUAAUUGCUGAAAUUACCAUCUUGCAAAACUUUUUUUGUUGUAAAAAUAUAUAUACAAAUACACAAGAAAAGUAAUAGGCAUUAGUUUUUCAUAAAAUAGUGUAAAACAAAGUACACUUUUAGUUAGCUUUAAAGUUAGUUUUCAGUGUUAAAGGCAAUUAAUUUCAAGCUCUAGCUCUAGUUUUCUUACACUAGGCGUGACGACGAAAAAAUCGACAAAAAAAAAAAACAAAUUGUCUCGAAAUCCGCAUAAAAGAUUUACACGCGACCGCAUCAAGUACGACGAAUAAACGACAAAUAUUUUGUUCAACGUUUCAAAGUAGAUCAAAAUUAUUCAAAGUUAACAACUAACACGAAAAUAAAGGGCGGACUUUAAAAAGCGGCAAAGGAAAGCGUAGACGGCAAAGCAACACACAGACACACAACACACACACACACACACUUAAAUCAAAGGAAAACCCACACGCAGUGAUCGGAAGAACAAUGUACGCUGGCGCAUAUCCACCAAACGCUGGCGGCGUCCAGCAGCAGCACACGGGCGGCUACUAUGGCAACGGCGGCGGCGGUGCAGCUGCUGGCGGCGGCAAUGGACCGCGCCAUGAACGUCCAUAUUAUCCGCGCAAUAGCUUUGCCGGCGCUGCUGGCAAUGCGGCGGCUUUGAAUGGUGCCGGCGGCGGCGCCGCAGCUGGAGGAAUGCAUUUUGGCCAGCCGUAUGGCGUCAUGACCUAUGGUAUUCAGAAUGGCAUUAGCAUGGGCGCCGGUGGCAAUCCGUAUCGUACCGGCGGCGGCGGUGGUGGCAAUGCCAUGCAGAAUGGCGCAUUUGCUGGCGCCAAUGGCAUAGCCUUUCAGGGCGGACCCCGUGCCAAGAAUCCAAACUAUACGCAACGCUAUCAGAAGCCUCACAACGGCAUGGGCAAUGGAGGCGGCUAUCAGGGCGGCGGCGGCAGUGCCAAUUAUAAUGCAGCCGCAUUGGGCAUGUUGUCGAAGGAGGAGCGCGCCGAAUUGCAGCGUGAGAAGGCCAAAAAUCCAGGACGUAAUUUGGUAAAGCCACACUGGGAGAAUUUGCAGCCAUUUCAAAAGGAUUUCUAUAUUAUGCAUCCAAAUACAAUGAAUCGCAGCGAACAGGCUGUGGCCGAGAUGCGUCACGAGCUGGAGAUAACCGUAUCGGGCAAUGAGCUGCCACAUCCGGUGGCCAAUUUCGAGGAGUCCUCACUCCCGCCCCACAUUAUCGAUGAGAUGAAGCGCCAGGGCUUCACCAAACCAACAGCCAUCCAAGCACAAGGCUGGCCAAUUGCCCUGAGCGGACGUGAUCUUGUUGGCAUUGCCCAAACGGGCUCCGGCAAAACUCUGGCCUAUAUGCUGCCCGCCAUUGUGCACAUUGGCAACCAGCCGCCCAUUAUGCGCGGCGAGGGACCGAUUGCUUUGGUGUUGGCACCCACACGCGAGCUGGCCCAGCAAAUUCAGUCGGUGGUGCGAGACUAUGGACAUCUGUGCAAGCCCGAGAUACGGCACACAUGCAUUUUCGGUGGCUCCUCAAAGGUGCCGCAGGCACGUGAUUUAGAGCGCGGCGUCGAGGUUAUUAUUGCCACGCCAGGACGUCUGAUUGAUUUCCUUGAGAAUCGCAACACCAACUUGCAGCGCUGCACAUAUCUUGUACUGGAUGAGGCCGAUCGCAUGCUUGACAUGGGCUUUGAGCCCCAAAUACGCAAGAUCAUCGAACAAAUACGUCCGGAUCGUCAGGUUGUGAUGUGGUCGGCCACUUGGCCCAAGGAGGUGCAGGCAUUGGCCGGUGAUUUUCUCAACGAUUACAUCCAGAUCAAUAUCGGUUCAAUGAAUUUGUCGGCCAAUCACAAUAUACGACAGAUCGUUGAGAUCUGCAACGAGAACGAGAAGCCACAGCGCAUGGUGCGACUGCUUAAAGAUAUUGCCCCAACCACCAACAAUGCUGCCAACAAUGGCAACAAAAUCAUCAUAUUUGUGGAGACCAAAAUCAAGGUGGAGGACAUAUUGCAGAUAAUACGCAGCGAGGGCUAUACAGCCACAUCGAUACAUGGCGACAAGUCGCAGAGUGAGCGCGAUUCGGUGCUGAAGGAUUUCCGGAACGGCAAGUCGAACAUAUUGAUUGCUACGGAUGUGGCAUCGCGCGGCCUGGAUGUGGAGGAUUUGCAGUUUGUUAUUAAUUAUGAUUAUCCGAACUCAUCGGAGAACUAUGUGCAUCGCAUUGGACGCACUGGACGCUGCCAGCAACUGGGCACGGCAUACACAUUCUUUACACCGGACAAUGCCAAGCAGGCACGCGAGCUGAUCUCGGUCCUGGAGGAGGCUGGACAGACACCGUCACAGGCGUUGCUCGAACUGGCACGUGCCAUGCCCAAUUCGGCCAAUUAUCGCGGCAAUAAGCGCUGGAAUAACAAUGGCAAUGGCGGCGGCAAUGCGACCGGCGUCUAUCAGCAGCGCAGCAAUCCGCUCAACUAUCAGGCGGGCAACAGCAUUGGACCCAACAAUGGCUACAAUAAUCGCGCCAGCUAUCAGCAGCAAUAUGCCGCUGGCGGCAACACUUAUCAGCCGAAUGGCAGCGGCUCCGGCGUUGGCGGUAACGUUGGCAAUUGGAAUCGCGGCGGCGCUGGAUCCGCAAUUAACCAGCAGCCGGGUGUCGAUGGCGCCAAUCGCAAUGGCAGCGCCACUUAUCGCCCCCGUGCGCCCUUCAACAAUGGCGGACCGCGUGCCAUAAUGGGACAUAAUGGUGCUGCCGGCGGUGCUGGAGGUGCAGCUGGUGCCCACAAUGCCGGUCAGCCGCAUUUGGGUCAACAGGCCGGCGCAUUUAUGCCGCCAAAUUAUCGGGGACGUGGACAAUUUGUACCGAAUGCAGCGGCCGCUGGCAGUGGCAUGCCACGUUUCCAACAGUUCCCAAAACGUGACUAUCAACAACAACAGCAACAGCCACCGCCACACUAUCAACAGCCGCAACAGCAAGGACAGCAAAAGCCAAAGCAACAUCCUGGCGGCGAUGAUAAGACCUUUAAGGAAUAUGCACCGGCUGGUGUUAGCACACCGAUGGUGCAUUAUACACCAGCCAAUUCGCCGCCAAUAGCGGCUGUUGCGGCCGCUGCAGCGGCUGCUGUUGCCGGUGGCGCUGGACGCGCACCGGUUGCGGCCGCACCGGGCACCGCAUAUAUGUACGAUGCGGCGGGCGUGCUGACAACAACCGCAGCACCUGGCACCAAUCCCUAUGCCAGUCAGUUCAAUAUGCCGGCCACCUAUUAUACGGCACAGCAUCAUCAGUUUGCGCCAGCCGUGGCUGGGCCCGGGCCGGGCGCUGCCAUUGAGCAGGCUGGCCAGCAUUAAGAUGGCUCAAAAACCAGUCUUUCUAUUUUCCAAGAGUCCACAACUGCAACACCCAAAAUGAAGCGCAAUUACAACAGACACAUGCACCACAACAACAGACGAAGCCGAAGAAGCAGAAGAAGCAGAAGAAGAAAAGAAAACACAGACACACACACAUGCACACCCCAAAACACACUUGAACACGCAUAACGAAUUAAUAAACAGUCAUAAUUGUGAAUCGACUAGAGAGUGACUCGACUCGAGUCGUUCGAAUCAUACAAGUUAUACAUAUUCUAUAUGCAUAUAUUUAAAUGAAUUAUUUAAUGAGCAUUCAUAUGUGAUGUAGAGGAUGUCUAUUUGCUUGUGUCUGCUCGAUAAUGAUGUAUAUAUGCAGUGUAUACAUAAUGUAAACUGGUACGAUUCAAUCGAUUCAAUUUUACAUCAACUGUUAUUACACCACUGUUAAAGCUGAGCGCUGUUAAUUAACAGCGGCACCAGCAACGUUCCAAUGGGCAGGCAAGCAACUACAACAACAACAACAACGCGGACACAAAUGGCAACAAUUUACGAGUUUGAAAACAACAACAACAACAAAACCAACAAUGAAAAAAAUUAACAACAAAUUUGCAGAAGCACAAGUUACUCCCUUUUUACUUAGAACUUUCGUAUAUAUGCAUAUACAUAUAUCCUAACUAUACAUAUAUAGAUACGUGGAUUUUCAUUUCCAUUGAUAUUUAUUAUUAUUAUUAUUAUUAUUAUUUUUUUUUUUUUGUGCAACACAAACACAUACAAACAAACACACAGACUGCUUGAGUUAUUCGCAUGGCGGCAACUGCAUCAGCGACAACAUCAACAAUAUCAACAACAAUAACAACAACAACAAACGUAUAGAGACCGAUAACAGCGCCGUUAUAACUGUCGCCUUGCUGUUAACCACAACAUUUAUGCAACGCUCCGUACAAAAGAACUGCAACAACAGUUAAUAACUAGAAAUAUUUAUCUAGUUUUUAAGCAAUCUCCGCUCGCGAGCAGCAAAUUGCAUGUUCUUCGAAUGUUAAAGAGUUAAGUGAUUAUAAUGAUUUUUUCUGUUCAUUUGAUUUUGAAAAUGUGCUAAAUAUUUUUUUUUUUUUUGUUAACCAACACUUACACACACACACGACACACACACACAAACACACAUUCACGAAGCACAAACACCCAUACACACACACACACACACACACCCACAUUUUUUACUAAUCACAAAAUUUGUUAUGCAUAUUGUCAAAUCAUACUUUUAAGGUGCUAUACACAAAAAGCGUAUACAUAAAUAUCAACAAGAUAAACCACAA